rnacentral:ncRNA from 2 species
CUCUUAUCCCGAGCUGGUGGAGGGACAGGCCCAAUGAAACCCAGCAACCUGCUUUAUUUUUAAAAUUCAUUCAUGAAUUUUUGCGAGCAAAGGUGCUAACCUGAUGCAAGGCGAAAGCCCUUGAUCGAUAAGAG